rnacentral:rRNA from 1 species
GAUGUUAUCAUGAGUAAGCAUUUUCGCAUGAUUAAAGGUUUACCGGUGUAAGAUGGGGAUGCAUUCCAUUAGAUAGUAGGCGGGGUAACGGCCCACCUAGUCUUCGAUGGAUAGGGGUUCUGAGAGGAAGGUCCCCCACAUUGGAACUGAGACACGGUCCAAACUCCUACGGGAGGCAGCAGUGAGGAAUAUUGGUCAAUGGACGAGAGUCUGAACCAGCCAAGUAGCGUGAAGGAUGAAGGUUCUAUGGAUUGUAAACUUCUUUUAUACGGGAAUAAACGGAUCCACGUGUGGAUUUUUGCAUGUACCGUAUGAAUAAGGAUCGGCUAACUCCGUGCCAGCAGCCGCGGUAAUACGGAGGAUCCGAGCGUUAUCCGGAUUUAUUGGGUUUAAAGGGAGCGUAGAUGGGUUGUUAAGUCAGUUGUGAAAGUUUGCGGCUCAACCGUAAAAUUGCAGUUGAUACUGGAUAUCUUGAGUGCAGUUGAGGCAGGCGGAAUUCGUGGUGUAGCGGUGAAAUGCUUAGAUAUCACGAAGAACUCCGAUUGCGAAGGC